AAGAAGAUACCUACAUUUGUAGCAACAAUACUAAAUAAUACAUAUCUACAAGAAAAAAAAAACAAAAGGUCUACGAUAUUAUAUGAAAUAUAAGAUAUUUACAUAAGUUAAAAUGGACUUUGAGUAAAUAUUUGCAUAUGAACAUGCAGUUUAUAAGCAAAGGCAUUCAAGUCAAAUUGCACGAGCCAAGAGAGAAAUCAAUUUCUUUUCAUAUAAGGAGACUGCAGACAUAUAGACACAGGAGUAAAAAAAGAAGAAUGAGAAGAGGUGUCAAGCGGCUGAUGUUUAACCACAGUGGCGGCACGACUUUUUAUACCACCUGCCGAGACGCCGCCUUGGAUUUUCAAUCUCAUUGAACCGCUUGCGGGGAGAGGAUCGCCGAAACAAAAGAAUCGUCAGUAGUAGCAGAAAGAGGCGAGAACAAUAUAUAGAGAA